UCCUGAGGGGUGGCUUCGGCCUGAGAAAUUUACCCUUUGAACCUGAUCCAGAUUAUACUGGCGUAGGAAUAGGAA
rnacentral:ncRNA from 1 species